GCGACCCAAAGUUAUAAGCUACAUCUGAAGCUUACUGCAAACCGAAUUUCGGCUGAAAUAUACAUGCACGUAGUAAAUAGUUCCGUAUGGUCGGUAACAAGUUAGAAAAUCCGUACCUUCAUUCAUUACAGGAGGGUUAUCAUACAUUUUGAAAUGUAUCAUGAUGUCGAAAAUUACAGUAAAUUUGUGCUGUGUACAGAAAAAAUAUCAAUGCGCGAUUGACUCACGUGACAGGUCAUUGAGGUCAGCCGUGUAGAUUCGACUUUCGUCAGUACGUUAAUUGAUACAGACAUCCAGGAUAUUUUGAAGAAAUUGUGUGUGAUAUAACAAACUGUUGUGUGAGGUUUUUAAUUUGACAUGGUCAAGACAUACUAUGAUAGUAUUGUUCAGUAUUACUUCUGUCAUGUUACUGUUUGAUAACAGUUAAGGUACAGUAGGUUCAGACAAGUUAUAUACAUGUAUACAGGACAAGACAGCUCAAACUGGCAGUUUGUUAUAGCAAAAAGUGAUGAAGUUUCAGCCUAGAAGUCUUCAUGAUGAUGAUGGUGAUGAUCCUAGUUAUAGAUUCUUUGUAAUUAUCUGUAAGGAAGGGGUUUCUGCUGCAGAGAAGAAAAAAAUUCAUGCAGUAAGAAGUUGCCCACUCUGUUCAAAUGAAGCUGUCUGAAGUACCCAGUAGACAAUGUACUAUUUCUGGAACAACUUAAUUGAAGUGAAGCUUACUAUGUGAAGGAGUUAUUUCUGUAUUCAAAAGGAAACUUCAGCAUACAGAAUACCAAUUGAGAUAUUUGUAGCUUCAGUUAUGGGAGAACAUAAGAUUAAUUGAACUGGAAUCCCUUCAGACGUUGACAUAGCUAAAUUCCACAGUUUCAACUAUAAAUGGACAUUGAAUAAUUAUACAUUGGUUUUAUUUUAUACAUGUAUCUGUUAAUAUUUUUGUUUUCAAAUAUUUCCCAAUAUUGUUAAUUUUGGAUAAUAUAAUGCCACAGAAAACUUGUCGGUCUUGGAGUAUGGCUGUUUAACAAAAACACUGCAGAUUGUUCAUCAGAACAAUGAAAUUACAGUUUUGCUCAUUAAUGAACUAAUUUACAUAAAUAUAUAAUUUUUGUAAGCAUGAAGAAAUUUGGAACAUAUCAUAUAAUGGAUAUUUGUUUCUUUUGCAUGCAAGAUCCAAAUAUAUUUCAUAGAGUGAACAGCAGAUUAAAUAUUUUCAUGAAUGGCAUUGAAAAACAUAUAUUAUGUAUUAGUAUAACUUUGCCACAAUGUUGGUAAAUGGAGGCUGCUAUUUUACUGUGACUGAAAGUAGUUCAGAUAUGACGCCUUAUGAUGUCCGAGGUUUAUAGCCCAUCAUACAAGCCAAAGAGAGCAGAUUUUUUUUCUGUGUAGAUUCAUUAAUUUUCAAUGUUCAUAACUGAAAGUGAUUCUGUCAUAUUUCCUGAAUUUGUUUAAUUUCCUUCCUGAUUUGCAAAUAUUAAUUAUCUACUCUUUAUUUAUCACAUUUUUCUGAGAAAUAAAUGUUUUUCCCACAAAAUUUCUGUUUGUUUAUAGGCUUUUCAUCCUCAUUCAAAUAAAGUCUGGCUACUUUUGAAAUUAUACUUUAUUGUGAAAUAAUCUAAAAGUAAUGUCAUUUUUUUUCUGAAAAGCAUGUUAUAAGUUAUGGUGUUCAAUUGAUUUCUGAAGGACAACUUAUGAAGGAAAUGAAGUGUGUUGAUACUUGCCAUGUUAGUAUCAAAAGACAGAUUUAGUUCAAUUUUGGUCACAAUAAAUUAUUUUUGAUGCAGUUAUGCCUCUUUUUAGCUCGACUUUUUCUUUUUAAAAAAUAGAGGUAUCGUAACAGUCAUGUUGGCAUUGCCGAGGUUAUCCACAAACUUGUAUUUUGAUCAUUACUUUUUAGCUCACCUGAGCACAAUGCUCAUGGUGAACUAUUGUGAUCCUCCACCAUCAGUUGUCGUGGGUCGUC